AGUGGCAAACGGCUGAGUAACGCGUAGGAACCUACCCCAAACUCGAGUAUAGCCCCGCGAAAGCGGGGGUAAUCCUCGAUAGCCCGUGAAGUAUUUUACUUCACGGUAAAGCUUUUGCGGUUUGGGAUGGGCCUGCGUCCUAUCAGGUAGUUGGUGAGUGUAAAUGCUCACCAAGCCUAUGACGGGUAGCUGGUCUGAGAGGAUGGUCAGCCAGACUGGGACUGCGACACGGCCCAGACUCCUACGGGAGUGCAGCAAACUAGGAAUUGUGCGCAAUGGACGAAAGUCUGACGCCGCGACAUCGCGUGGAGGAUGAAGUGUCGUCGGAUUGUAAACUCCUUUUCUUACCGAACAAGUUCUGAGUGUAGGUAAGGAAUCAGUGCCUGCUAACCACGUGCCAGAAGCAUCGGUAAUACGUGGGGCACGAGCGUUAUCCGGAUUUACUGGGCGUAAAGAGACGCGUAUGCGGCUCGAUAAGUAUGGUGUUAAAUCUUCGGGCUCAACCGGAAACAAGCACCGAAAACUAUCGAGAUUGAGUCGAGUAGGGCCAGAGGGGAAUUCCUGGUGGAGCGGUAUAAAUGCGUAGAUAUCACGAGGACUACCCAAUGGCGAAGGCACCUCUUUGGACUCGUACUGACGCUGAGGCUCGAAAGCGUGGGUAGCAAAACGGAUUAGAUACCCGUGUAGUCCACGCCGUAAACGAUCCCUGUUAGAU
rnacentral:rRNA from 1 species